rnacentral:rRNA from 1 species
GUGAAUACAUAGCGUAAUGAAGCGAACCGGGGGAACUGAAACAUCUAAGUACCCCGAGGAAAAGAAAUCAACCGAGAUUCCCCCAGUAGCGGCGAGCGAACGGGGAGGAGCCCAGAGCCUGAAUCAGCAUGUGUGUUAGUGGAAGCGUCUGGAAAGGCGCGCGAUACAGGGUGACAGCCCCGUACACAAAAGCGCAUGUGUUGUGAGCUCGAUGAGUAGGGCGGGACACGUGGUAUCCUGUCUGAAUAUGGGGGGACCAUCCUCCAAGGCUAAAUACUCCUGACUGACCGAUAGUGAACCAGUACCGUGAGGGAAAGGCGAAAAGAACCCCGGCGAGGGGAGUGAAAAAGAACCUGAAACCGUGUACGUACAAGCAGUGGGAGCACCCUUUGGGGUGUGACUGCGUACCUUUUGUAUAAUGGGUCAGCGACUUAUAUUCUGUAGCAAGGUUAACCGAAUAGGGGAGCCGGAGGGAAACCGAGUCUUAAUUGGGCGUUAAGUUGCAGGGUAUAGACCCGAAACCCGGUGAUCUAGCCAUGGGCAGGUUGAAGGUUGGGUAACACUAACUGGAGGACCGAACCGACUAAUGUUGAAAAAUUAGCGGAUGACCUGUGGCUGGGGGUGAAAGGCCAAUCAAACCGGGAGAUAGCUGGUUCUCCCCGAAAGCUAUUUAGGUAGCGCCUCGUGAACUCAUCUCCGGGGGUAGAGCACUGUUUCGGCUAGGGGGCCAUCCCGGCUUACCAACCCGAUGCAAACUGCGAAUACCGGAGAAUGUUAUCACGGGAGACACACGGCGGGUGCUAACGUCCGUCGUGAAGAGGGAAACAACCCAGACCGCCAGCUAAGGUCCCAAAGUCAUAGUUAAGUGGGAAACGAUGUGGGAAGGCCCAGACAGCCAGGAUGUUGGCUUAGAAGCAGCCAUCAUUUAAAGAAAGCGUAAUAGCUCACUGGUCGAGUCGGCCUGCGCGGAAGAUGUAACGGGGCUAAACUAUGCACCGAAGCUGCGGCAGCGACACU